GGGCGCAAGCCUGAUACAGCGACGCCGCGUGAGGGAUGGAGGCCUUCGGGUUGUAAACCUCUUUUAUCGGGGAGCAAGCGAGAGUGAGUUUACCCGUUGAAUAAGCACCGGCUAACUACGUGCCAGCAGCCGCGGUAAUACGUAGGGUGCAAGCGUUAUCCGGAAUUAUUGGGCGUAAAGGGCUCGUAGGCGGCUCGUCGCGUCCGGUGUGAAAGUCCAUCGCUUAACGGUGGAUCCGCGCCGGGUACGGGCGGGCUUGAGUGCGGUAGGGGAGACUGGAAUUCCCGGUGUAACGGUGGAAUGUGUAGAUAUCGGGAAGAACACC
rnacentral:rRNA from 1 species